CAACCCGGAUCGCGUCAUGUGACCACUUCUAGGCGUUCUGAUUGACUGAAAGCAGAAAGCAGAAAUAAUAGGUUGGGGAAGUAGAUUCCGUCCGUGUUGAAGUUGCUCCUGACUUUCAACGAAUUGCAUUGAAGUCUUAUAGGUCAUCUGUUUGCUGAGCCGUCACACCAAACAAUUAUUGUCUGUCACCUGAAUCUGGAUUUCAAAACUUUGAAGCAACAUGAUGCCCGGUGACGGUACGUUCGAUGGGGUGGGCCAGGCCCCCGCAAGAAACCCCCAGCAGGCGGCUGCCAACAAGAGGCUGCAGCAGACGCAGGCCCAGGUCGACGAGGUAGUAGGAAUUAUGCGAGUCAAUGUGGAAAAGGUGCUGGAAAGAGAUCAGAAAUUGACCGAACUGGAUGAUCGAGCCGAUGCACUCCAACAGGGAGCCACCCAAUUUGAGCAGCAAGCUGGGAAACUGAAAAGGAAAUACUGGUGGAAAAACCUGAAGAUGAUGAUCAUCAUGGGAGUGAUCGCAGCUGUCAUUUUGAUUAUUAUCUUAGUCCUGAUUUUCACCAAUUAAUAGUUGGUUGGUUUGGUUCCUUGCAAGUUUUCUGUCUUUUCUAAUUUAUUGCAACAUCAUUAUGGCCCGAAAGUUCCAACUCUCCUGAAAUGCUUCCAACACCAAUGCCGCAGCCAAUGCCGUCGCCGCAGCCUACACAACCUCCUGGAAAGUAAACGUCGCGCCGUAUUAAGGGACCCAAUUUUUGUCAAUUUAAUUGGAACACUGCAUUUUUCACGUCAAUUUCAAAACGCUGUGCCUUAAACCAACCACCGCCUUCCAGACAAGCUACAAUUAAUACAAAUUUUCAACUAUUUAAUGAAGAUAUACCGUAACAUACAGUUUUAAAAGGAUUUGUGAAGUUGAAACAGAGAUACAAUAUUGUACUGUACUUUGUGUUAAAUGAUUUAGGUAUUAUUUACUGCUUCUUAUUGUAAAGAGUUCUAACUUGGUUAUUAAGAGUCGGAAUAUAGUUUUAAUGAGGUGCUUUGUGUAAUCUUUCUCUACUUCUGUUCACAAUUGGCCUAAACGAUUCCUAUAGUUUGUUAAAAAUUAGUAUUUUGCUAAGUUAUAACUUGUAAUUAUGUUAUACUUAUUAUGCAAGAGAUAAUUGUAAUAAAACAUUUGCUUUGACAUAUUA